GUAGGUGAACCUGCGGAAGGAUCAUUAACACGUAUCCAACGUUAAAAACCCCGUGAACCUUUAUUCGCCGCUCCCACGGCUCAGUCGCGUAAAGCUAGCAAUCCCUGUACUCGUCCGAGAAAUGUAAGGAGGAGGGACUUCUGGCAGUGCACCGUGGUUUCAGAGCGCUUGGUUAGUGGCUUGUUUUUCCCCAAGCAAUCAGUGAGUGACAGUGUCAUUGAUUGUCUAAGGAUUUCGCUUAGCGAUCACUAGAGGUCGAUCACCGACCGGUGGAUCAAGUCACAGGGCUUCGGCUCCCUCCCCAACCCCACUUCCUAUUGCCGCUCCGCGCUAACAACGCCGGGCAUUUAAAAACGUACUAAACAACUGUUAACAAUGGAUAUCUUGGUUCUC
rnacentral:misc_RNA from 1 species